GAUCGUCACUUUGGUAUUCUCACCAAAAGCACGUAAUCUAAAAUAUAACUCAUGCUUGCCUUGUGUACCCUUAGAGGACAAAAAGACGCAUGACACUUUUUCCUACUUAUCAGUUUGACCAAUUGCACCAGGUCGCUGUGGAAUAGAAAGAAUUAGCAAUUCCCACAUGUUAGGGUUACGAAUCACAAAUCAAAUGCUCUGGACAUAUCCCUUUAAUGAACUCUUUAUUUUGGUGUGCUGCAAGAACUUUUAUGCUCCCUCAGUGUUUGUGAGCUGAACUUGAAAUUAUUAAUUAAUCUUCAAGCUUGACAUAUUUGCCAGAAAGUGGAUGGAAGUAAGAGAUAUGCAUGUCAUCAAAGUGCUACCUGAAGACUCCAUUGUCGUUUGGGGAUUGUAAAAAUGUUUUUAAGCCGCAGAAGAACUCUGCAGCAUCCAUGCUUAGACUUCUUCCUUAAUUCUACACUUUUGCCUUUAUUUAGUUUCCUCUUUAGGCUUUUUUUUUUUAAGACUCUUUUGCUCUCUGAGUACAGUUCAUCUCCCUCCUCCCUCCCUUUCAAUUCUCAAUAUUAAAAUCUAUUUCCCCCUUCCAGACAAAAGGAAUGUAUAAAGGAUUUCAGCGACUUUGAGAUAACAAAGGCGCCACCAUUGCAGAGGUUCGCCCCGCCUCUGUGUGAUGGCAAACAAAUUCUUGCACUUGUAUUAGGGCUUUUAAGGCUAUAAUUGAACACGGCGCGUCUAGGAGAACCGAAAACAGUUCUAGACUGACCUGCGGUUUUAUAGCACUUUUGGCAGUCAACUUCAGCUUGUGUGAGAACAGACAUGACAGAGCUGACCAACGGUUAAUCGGGAGACACCACCUACUUGGAAUCGCUGCAGUCCCCUCUUAAUUAAAUAAAUUUCAAACCUUGGGGAUAGAACGGGCUGCAGUUCUGAAAAAAGGUGCAAGAGACUUCUGACAAAUGUGGGCUGCAGGGGAUGGGUGUCUAAACCAGUUGCUCUAAAGUGUCUGCGAAAGCAAAAUUCUUCGCUUGUUAUCCUUUGAUAUAGAAAGCCAGACACUUUUAACUGAGUUCCACCCAUAUUCAUCUCCACAGAUGACUAGGAUAAUUAACGUCACCUGUAGUAAAUAGGUUCCAAUCACCUUUCAUGCAGAUGUAUUUUAUGUGGAAUUAAUCAUUAAUCUUCAAGAGUUAUUUCAAGAAACCUAGUUAUAAAACAAUAAGACUAUACCUCUAUCCUUACAUAAAAUGUACAGACUCGUGAUCUCCUGGUGCAAAGUCCACAGAGAUUUGACCCACAACCAUUUGCUUACACAAUUGAUGCGCCGUCUGGGAACUGCGAUGCUGUUUAUCUGAACAACAGAAACAACCCCGCCAGAACAUUCCAAUGCCCACAUAUAUUUAGAAGUAUUGCUACAGGUGAUGCCUUGAACUUGACCUUAGGUAUGUUAAUCAAUGAAAUACAUGCUGGGAGAAAAAUCUGAUUGUAUUGCUUCCUACAGAAGGUUAUUUUGUUAUAUUGGAAUUCAGGGUUACAACAACGAAGUUCAAUUCCUGUGGUAUAUAUAAUAUGCUCUUAAUGUUAAGAUUUUAAAGUUAUAGGCAAUAAAAUGUCGCUAAGGCGAGACAAACUCUUUUUAUUUUGGUUAUUCCUGGGGGCUGAGAUCCGCAUUUCACUGCGCAUCCUAAAAAAAAAGUCGAUCAGCUAAAUCCGAUUGUGUAAUACUCAGUGUUUUCGCUAAUGCAUGUUGAAUUUUAACAGCGAUAGAUGAGGGGUUUUAAAAAAAUAUUUUGUCCACUCACCAAAAAAAAAAAAAAAAAAAAAUCAGAUUCUACUAUGCCACCCUGCUAACUGUAUAGGAGAGCCCUACUCAAGAAUUGUGAAACACACCGACCUAAAGACAUUUCUUCAAGGAUUGUUUCAGGGGGCGGGUACAGGAAGUAUCAUUAUACUAAGCCUGUCAAACCGACGACUUCGAACAUUAACAUAUUCUGAUGGACUCUAAGAACUAUAUUAUAAUAAAGGUAACCUGUACUUAUGUAACUUUUAAAAUCUUAUAUUUGUAAAACACAAGUUGUAGAUUGUAAAAUGUAACAGCUUUACCACACACGUUUUAUAUUGUUCUGUAAGGUCUUCUUCCUUUUGUGUACUGUAUUUUAGCUAUGCAAAUAAAAUACAAGGGUGCUUAUACAAAUAUUUUCCCCACAAAUCCUAA